ACUCCUACGGGAGGCAGCAGUGGGGAAUUUUGGACAAUGGGCGAAAGCCUGAUCCAGCAAUGCCGCGUGAGUGAAGAAGGCCUUCGGGUUGUAAAGCUCUUUUGUCAGGGAAGAAACGGUGAGAGCUAAUAUCUUUUGCUAAUGACGGUACCUGAAGAAUAAGCACCGGCUAACUACGUGCCAGCAGCCGCGGUAAUACGUAGGGUGCAAGCGUUAAUCGGAAUUACUGGGCGUAAAGCGUGCGCAGGCGGUUUUGUAAGUCUGAUGUGAAAUCCCCGGGCUCAACCUGGGAAUUGCAUUGGAGACUGCAAGGCUAGAAUCUGGCAGAGGGGGGUAGAAUUCCACGUGUAGCAGUGAAAUGCGUAGAUAUGUGGAGGAACACCGAUGGCGAAGGCAGCCCCCUGGGUCAAGAUUGACGCUCAUGCACGAAAGCGUGGGGAGCAAACAGGAUUAGAAACCCUUGUAGUCCCAUG
rnacentral:rRNA from 1 species